CCUGGGCCACGUGCUGCAGUGCGGACUCGCCGUCCUCUGGAAGGGAGGAAGUGCCGUGUUCUAUCCUUGCAACACGUCACACUUGGUUCAUUGCUCAGAAGUUCCACGUGAAACACUUGGCACGUCGGUAAUAAGGUGCCUAAGGAGAAGGCCACGUGUGCUAAGAGAAAUGUGGAACGAGACUCGGGUGAGCUUGGAUCCCACUUACUGGCCGCACACAGUGCGCAGUCGCUCAACCCAGGAGCCCUCUCCUGAACGAGGAAGCAGAACGUUUCCCUUCCCAAGGUCGCGCAUCCCAAAUUAUCCGGCUUCCAGUCCUACUGAGCAACAAAAGGAGACAGAUCAACGUAAAGCUCUUCCUCCAGAACAUGAAACAAGCAGCAGUGAACAUUUUAUCCGAUUCCCCCUUCCAGUCAUCUCACAACAACCUUUCAACGAUAAAUAACCAACUAGAACUCAGACAAGAUCUACCCGAGCAAGAGCAUCACCCCAGGACUCUGCUUUGUCACUACUUGAAUGAAGCUUGCUGUGAAACCAAGUGUGACCUCCAGGACAGACAGCAAAGGCAAGCAGGACAGGAAAAGGGCAGAAUUCCAGCCAAGAAAAUAUUCUAAUUCUUGUUUAUGCUAUUUCAAAAAGCUAAAUCAAUGUUCUUAACAAAUGGAGAUUUAAGAACCUCAAUAUAAAAUCUGUAUCGUUGAAGGAGCACACAGAACUGCCUUGCAUUUAUGAAAUAUUGGGGCUGCGCUGCCGUUUGGUGUCAGAGUUCAUUUCUAGCAUGUGCAAGGCCCCGUAUUCAAUCUCCAGCCCCAGAAAGAGAAAGAAAAGGGAAAUAUCAACUUUUUAAUAAAUUAAACAUACUUUUUAUGUAUUCUUCUACAUCCCCAAUAGAAUCUACCUCAAACUG